rnacentral:lncRNA from 1 species
AGGAUGGGAGGAAACUUUAGGAGGUGAUGGCUAUAUAUGACUGUGAUCUGAUGGUGGUGAUGGUUUCAAGGGUAAAUACUUAACCUCAAACUCAGAGUUGUGCAAAUCAAGUAUGUACAACUUUUUACAUGCCAGUCAUAGCUCAGUAAAGAGCUAUAUAUGAAUGAAGGAAUAAAUAAGUAAAUAAAUAAAUAAGGCCAUAAAGGCAGUAAAAGAAAACACAAAAACAUUUUCUUCUUAAACCUCAGGGUGGCCAUAAACAAAAGAUUGAUAAUUUGAUCAUUUGGACCACACAAACAUGAUUAAUUUCAUAUGGCCUAACCACCAUAAACAAAAUUAAAGGAACAAUGUGGGGAAAUAACCCCAAGAAUGAGAAAGGGUUGGGUUUAAGUUCCAUAUAUUAUACAAACUCUCUAAUUGGUAAGGAAAUCAAUAGGAAAUGAGGCAAAGGAUGUAAACAGAGAUCACAGGGGAAAAAAUUAGCUUUUCUUACUGGGAAACUUGUAAAGUAGUUAGACCUUAAGCUCUUUCUUAGCAAAUCUUAGCAGAAACAGAAGCACCGAUGUAGUGAUGGUGCCCAUGGCCAGCCCUUCCUUGCCAUGGAGUGUUCAGCGUUGCAGACCAUGUCUAGCUGGACUAUUGUAAGAUUCAUCCAGCAGUGACCAGAGCAGAAGAGCAGACUGUGCACAGCCUCUCCAACUCCAUAUCCAGCCUCAGAAUGGGGCAGCAUAAAAUCGGCCAGGAGAAAAGUUACACCAUGGAAAAUGGCAAUGGCUACAAAUUAAAUCCUUUUAGGUCCCAAGAGUGGUUUUUAAAUAUUUACCAUCACCCACUUAGACCCACCCCAAACUCCUUCAAACCCAGGAGACUGUCACACUUCCUAACAGUUGUUUUCAACUGGGUUGGACUCAAAAUGAGGGUAAAGGUACCCAGUAAGGGGCAUAACUGUAUGUAUUUUGAGAAGAUCCCCGGUAAACCUGCUAUUGCACCCCUGUAUAUCACCAGCCUCACCUGAGAACCCUAGGAAUCCUACCCAGUGCUUUCACGUAUUGGCAGAGGUCUGUAAAUAUAAAACCUGAUACCUUUCAACUUCUGUAAAACCAUAGAGCAAAACCGAGAAACUUUGUUAAGAACAACAUGCUUCGGAUCCCUGGGUGGCUCAGCGGUUUAGCGCCUGCCUUUGGCCCAGGGUGCGANCUCUAUCAUAAAUAAACAAACAAAUAAAUAAAUAAUUAAAUGAAUG